rnacentral:rRNA from 1 species
UACGGAGGGUGCAAGCGUUGUCCGGAAUCACUGGGCGUAAAGGGUGCGUAGGCGGUUUGGUAAGUCUGAUGUGAAAUCUAUGGGCUCAACUCAUAGUCUGCAUCGGAAACUGCCGGGCUUGAGUGUGGGAGAGGUGAGUGGAAUUCCUGGUGUAGCGGUGAAAUGCGUAGAUAUCAGGAGGAACACCUGUGGCGAAAGCGGCUCACUGGACCAUAACUGACGCUGAGGAGCGAAAGCGUGGGGAGCAAACAGG